GUGGGUGUAGCUCAGUGGUAGAGUGCUAGAUUGUGGCUCUAGUUGUCGCGGGUUCGAACCCCGUCACCCACC
rnacentral:tRNA from 1 species